UAGGGAAUAUUCGACAAUGGGCGAAAGCCUGAUCGAGCGACGCCGCGUGCAGGAUGAAGGCCCUCGGGUUGUAAACUGCGGUAGUAGGGGAGGAACGCAAGUGACUGUACCCUACGGAAAGUGGUUGGUAACUACGUGCCAGCACCAGCGGUAAUACGUAGACCACAAGCGUUAUCCGGAUUUAUUGGGCGUAAAGAGCAUGUAGGAGGUCCGGUGCGUCUCUGGUUAAAGCCCACCGCCUAACGGUGGAAGUGCCAGAGAUACGAUCGGACUGGAGGAUGUGAGAGGUGCAUGGAACUCACGGUGUAGGGGUGAAAUCCGUUGAUAUCGUGGGGAACACCAAAGGCGAAGGCAGUGCACUGGUACAUUCCUGACUCUGAGAUGCGAAAGCGUGGGGAGCAAAAAGGAUUAGAUACCCAAGUAGUCCCUGAGCGGGCUGGCAAGGCGCAU
rnacentral:rRNA from 1 species